AGGAGGCCAGGCAGCAACAUUGCUUGGCUGAAGGGCUGCUGAGAACAAACUGGAAGUAAAAGGGAGCUGCAAGGGGUUGGUAGCAUUCCACUCAGCAAUCAGUGCUUCAUCUGAUUGCCAAUAUGGUUGUUUAGACCAAAGAAAUAUCCCUUGGCCAGAGUCUGUGGGGAUUCGUGUUUUCUUCUUACAUGCUGGAGUUCUUUGCUGAACAGGCCUCCUGAGGAAACUGGUUAGAAGUCAUGGAAGACCUGCCACUUGGGAACUUUGGAACCGUGAUGACCACAGAACAGCAAAAUUAAUGGUGGAGGGUGACCCUACUUUGUCCAGGAGCUGGCAGUAACCAAAUUGUUUCCUAGAAAGCAGAAAUGAAGACUUGAAGCAAAUCUGGAUAGAUGCUAAAUGUUACCUGUAGCUAAUGCUUCCCUUUUCUCAUGGUACUGUUGUGUCGUUGGCUAAUGAAGAUAAUCAGAUUCCUUAAAGGCAAGAGGUGCUUGUUGAUAAGCCAACCACCUGUGAGGAUCACUUUAAAACAGGUGGUGGAGAAACAAAUUAACCAAAAUGUCAAAACCAGGCCAUAAUCCUGGAAAAUGUUCCCAGAUGUUUAUUAUUUCAGUACUCAUGACCCCAACCACUUGUGUAUUGAUAGCAUGUGAUGCCGUCUGUUAUAUAUGAAAUAUUCAUUACAUGCAAGUGCCUUCAUGUCCAUCCAUAUGUGGGCAGGAAAAAAAGUCUCUUGUGACAUGAAAUGACCCUGCUUUCUCCAAAUAAACCAUUUUCUUGCUCUUCUAUUGAUUUUGCCAUCUUGGGUAUUCAUCAUAUGCCGUAAUUGGAUACAGAGGAACAGCUGCUGCAUAUUAGAGUUCUGUGGACAAGGAGACCUAACUUGUUCUUGGUACAAUUUCAGGUGUUAGAAAGUACUGUUUUCAUAUCACUCAAUUACUGUCAGCCCCAUUGUAGUAGCUCUUAAAAACUUUCUAAUUUUGCUAGAUAAUUAGACAGGGUUAUGUCUGUCCUUGCAAGAGACCAAUAUUCUGAGGAAUAGGGUAGAUCCCUUUGUCUCAGAAUUACUUAGUUAUUUAAGGGCAUUUGACAAAACUUUACAGCUAUUACAGAUAUAAAUAUUUAUUCCUUAUACUUUGUCCUCCUGCCUCCUUUUAACCAAGGACCUCAAACUGCCUCAAAUUUUACAAAGCUGAGCAAGUAACAUGAACAGAUAGAUCCUCAGGGAUCCCUCUGCCUCUGUAGCAGCUCUGAUUCCUAGUGUUUUUCACCAUUCACCAACUUAUUGCAGUUAAAUUGCCAAAUAUGGCUCCAGUAUUUGUGAAAACAAGUAGGGGGAGUGCUAUAGAGAUAGUUGAUCAUUUUUUGAAUUUGUAAACCAUGAUCAGAUGUUAAUUGGUUUUGGACAGAGCCUUUGAUCACUAAAUCAUCUCAUUAUUAGACCUGCUGCUAGGUAACUGCAAUCAGCUGCAAAAAACAUGUUUCCUAAGGAUUUAUUUCAGAGAGCCAGAGAGUCACGUUGCAGCUAGAGUUUUGCUGUGUGUUUUUUUUUUUUUUCCAGGAACUGGAGCAUAGCUCUAAAAACAUCUUUUUUUUUCAGUGCCUUUUUAUGUAUUAGAAUGGAGGAAGGGUAGAUAUGCACCUGAGAGGCUGAGUGGUUUGCUAAUAUAACUCUUGCAGUACUGUAUUAUUUAGAAUAUUCAGAGAAAAUGUAAAUUCCGUGUUUCAUGUUAAUGUUAACUCAGUUGAUGACUGAUUUUUAAGUACUUGAAACAUAUAAACUUCUCAUGCUGUUGUUCUGAGUAUUUUAAGAAUGCAUGGAGAGAUUGACAAUAAACAUUUGUGAAUAUGGCACAUGAACUAACGUUAGCAGCUGAAGUGUCAAACAGCCAUU